rnacentral:rRNA from 1 species
GACUCUCGACAACGGAUAUCUCGGCUCUCGCAUCGAUGAAGAACGUAGCGAAAUGCGAUACUUGGUGUGAAUUGCAGAAUCCCGUGAACCAUCGAGUCUUUGAACGCAAGUUGCGCCCGAAGCCACUAGGCCGAGGGCACGCCUGCCUGGGUGUCACGC